rnacentral:rRNA from 1 species
AUACGUCGGGUGCGAGCGUUGUCCGGAUUGAUUGGGCGUAAAGGGCGCGUAGGCGGCCUGUUAAGUCUGGAGUGAAAGUCCUGUUUUCAAGAUGGGAAUUGCUUUGGAUACUGUUGGGCUUGAGUGCCGGAGGGGUUAUCGGAAUUCCCGGCGUAGCGGUGAAAUGCGUAGAGAUCGGGAGGAACACCAUUGGCGAAGGCGGGUAACUGGACUGCAACUGACGCUGAGGCGCGAAAGUGUGGGGAGCAAACAGGAUUAGAUACCCUGGUAGUCCACACUGUAAACGAUGAAUGCUAGGUGUAAGAGGUAUCGACCCCUUUUGUGCCGGAGUUAACACAAUAAGCAUUCCGCCUGGGGAGUACGGCCGCAAGGUUGAAACUCAAAUGAAUUGACGGGG